rnacentral:rRNA from 1 species
AACGAACGCUGGCGGCAGGCCUAACACAUGCAAGUCGAACGGGCAUAGCAAUAUGUCAGUGGCAGACGGGUGUGGAACACGUGGGAACAUGCCCUUUGGUUCGGAAUAACUCAGGGAAACUUGAGCUAAUACCGGAUAAGCCCUUAUGGGGAAAGAUUUAUCGCCGAAGGAGUGGCCCGCGUCCGAUUAGCUGGUUGGUGAGGUAACGGCUCACCAAGGGGACGAUCGGUAGCUGGUCUGAGAGGAUGAUCAGCCACAUUGGGACUGAGACACGGCCCAAACUCCUACGGGAGGCAGCAGUGGGGAAUAUUGGACAAUGGGCGCAAGCCUGAUCCAGCCAUGCCGCGUGAGUGAUGACGGCCCUAGGGUUGUAAAGCUCUUUCACCCACGACGAUAAUGACGGUAGUGGGAGAAGAAGCCCCGGCUAACUUCGUGCCAGCCGCCGCGGUAACAC